rnacentral:lncRNA from 1 species
AGGGCUGGGAGUGGAGAGUCAGAAAUGGGGACCUGGUCAGGGCAAGGGGGCAGAUGCUCGGCUCACGUCGUACCUGGUAAUUUAGAAAUGCAGCAAGUCUAGUCAUGUAGAUCUCUGGCUUUCUCUCUCGUUGCUUAUUCUUUUAUUAUUAUUAAAUGAAUGUUAAUGUGGAAACGCCGUGUGCACGUGGGCAGAGCCAACCGUUCAUGAGCAGUGUGCUUGUCGCCCCCUGCCGGCCGGCUGCUGCCCUGACCUGAAUUAUCCGCAUCUCCGUCAUGGUCCCCCAGAGCCACCAGGAAGAUCAAGGAGCCAGGGCCACCCUCACGUUGCCUAGGCAACAGCAUCCGUGAUCAGACUGUAAGGCAACUGGGACCCAUGCGUGCUCCCCGGGGGAGGCUGCAGGUUCACGUCGGUGUCCGGUGAUAAAGAAGACACGGAUACAGCAAGAAGGAAGGAGGCCCUGUGCACGACACUAAGAUGAGUGACGCCACAGCACGGACCUUUGCUCAAGAUCCGUCAGCAGGAAAUACCCCCCAAGUGCCGAGAGUGCUGGCAUGCAGCAGAGAAGGCUGUAAGUGACUGUGAGGUUUCCUUCAUUAUACUCAUCUGCAUUUUCCAAAUUUUGAAAAUGAGUAUAUAUUAAUUACACACUAAAAAA